rnacentral:rRNA from 1 species
CGUAGCUUGCUACACCAUAGACUGUGAGUUGCGAACGGGUGAGUAACGCGUAGGUAACCUGCCUGGUAGCGGGGGAUAACUAUUGGAAACGAUAGCUAAUACCGCAUAAUAUUAAUUAUUGCAUGAUAAUUAAUUGAAAGGUGCAAUUGCACCACUACCAGAUGGACCUGCGUUGUAUUAGCUAGUAGGUGAGGUAACGGCUCACCUAGGCGACGAUACAUAGCCGACCUGAGAGGGUGAUCGGCCACACUGGGACUGAGACACGGCCCAGACUCCUACGGGAGGCAGCAGUAGGGAAUCUUCGGCAAUGGACGAAAGUCUGACCGAGCAACGCCGCGUGAGUGAAGAAGGUUUUCGGAUCGUAAAGCUCUGUUGUAAGAGAAGAACGGGUGUGAGAGUGGAAAGUUCACACUGUGACGGUAUCUUACCAGAAAGGGACGGCUAACUACGUGCCAGCAGCCGCGGUAAUACGUAGGUCCCGAGCGUUGUCCGGAUUUAUUGGGCGUAAAGCGAGCGCAGGCGGUUAGAUAAGUCUGAAGUUAAAGGCUGUGGCUUAACCAUAGUACGCUUUGGAAACUGUUUAACUUGAGUGCAGAAGGGGAGAGUGGAAUUCCAUGUGUAGCGGUGAAAUGCGUAGAUAUAUGGAGGAACACCGGUGGCGAA